rnacentral:rRNA from 1 species
GCUAAAUCCUACGCUAUUAGGUGGAUGACUCGGCUCAAAUGCUGAUGAAGGGUGUGGCAAGCUACAGAAUGCUCUGGCGAGACGCACGCAGUCUUUGAACCAGAGGUACCUGAAUGAGACUUCUCAUUUACUCCGUAAGGAGAGGGAACGCAGGGAAUUGAAACGUCUUAGUACCUGCAGGAAAAGAAAUCAAUUGAGAUGCUGCAAGUAACAGCGAGUGAAAACAGCACAAGGCAAACUGAAUCCUUUAUUGAAAGAUAAAGGAAAUGUGGUGUUAAAAGACUACCUAUACGGAUCUAAUCUCAGGAAUCUAAAGUUGUCUGGAAAGACAUGUCUUAGAGUGUGAUAGCCACGUAAGGGUAACUGAGAAGAUUCUGGUAGUAUCUUGAGUACUGCUCACUGGAUAUUGAGUGGGAAUUUAGGAGGUAUCAACUUCUAACCUUAAAUACAAUUUGAGUCCGAUAGAGAAUAGUACAGCGAUGGAAUGUUGAAAAGUACCCAUGACAGGAAGUAAAAAGAGCCUGAAACCUAAUAGCCAUAGUUUGGUACUGCUCUACGGAGUUGUACCAUGCGUUUCGAAUAACGUGCCAGGGAGUUCAUCUGAGUGGCAAGGGUAAUCUGCAAGAGGACCCAAAGCGAAAGCAACAUGCUCGCAGCUUGCAAGGAGCGUGGUAUGAAAAUGCCAGGAGUCACUUGGAUGUAACCCGAAGCCGGACGAUCUAACCCUGAGUAAGGUGAAGUAACUGUAAAAGGUUAUGGAGGCCUGAAGAGGUUCUACGAGCAAGUGUUCUUCUAACUUGGGGUUAGGGGUGAAAAGCCAAUCGAGUCCGGCAAUAGCUGGUUCCUACCGAAGUUGGCCGUAGUCAAGCCUUAGAGGAAAUAGCUAGAGUAGUAGAGCUACGGGUUGAAGAUUUAGGUCCCGAAAGGGAUCGAUUUUCUGUCCAACUCCGAACAUUCUAGCAUUACAGAAUCUAAGAGACGGGAAGCCGGGGUAAGCCCGGUUUCCGAGAGGGGAACAACCCAGACUAUAGUUAAGGUCCCUAAUACUGACUAAGUGUGAAAGGGUGAAAAGUGUCUAUUAUCACAGACAGCGAGGAGGUUGGCUUAGAAGCAGCCACCCUUUAAAAAGUGCGUAACAGCUUACUUGUCAAGAUGAUAGGCCUUUAAAAUGGACGGGACUAAGUCAGUUACCGAUACUAUAGAAUGCUUAAAAAGCAAUUAGUAGGUAGGCAUUCUGCAAGGACAGAAGUAUUUUUGCAAAAAAAUAUGGACCUUGUAGAAAUGAGAAUCCUGGUGGUAGUAGGAUCUUAGCACUGUAAGAAUCAGUGCCACUGAAAGGGCAAGGGUUCCUUGGCAAUGCAAAUCAGCCAAGGGUUAGUCGAACCUAACCAAAUCCAUAAAUUGGACUAUGGGAAAAGGAUAAAGGUUAAUAUUCCUUUACUAUUCAAGUAUACGUGGCAACACAAGCUUUAUUUCUGACAUUUCUGAUUAGGCUAACAUUGUUUGUCUACAAUGUCAACUAGAAUAAAUCGGGGGAGUAUCGUAAUGAUGAGAACCUGAUUAAAUCUAGGACGAGCGUUCUUAUGGGACGUUUAGCCGAUAUCUGGAAUCCGUGAAAAGGGAGUAGAGAAAAAACUUGAAUAUUCGUACCAAGAACCAGCACAGGUGCCCCUAGGUGAGAAGCCUAAAGUGUGAAGGAUUAAUCUAGUUGAGGGAAUUCGGCAAAUUAGCCCCGUGCCUUCGGUAAAAGGGGUCCCUGCAAUUGUUGCUUAGCAAUUGAUUGCAGGGUGCAAUGACUAAGGGGGUCCGACUGUUUAACAAAAACUUAACUGACUGCUAGCCUGUAAAGGUGUGUAUAGUCAGUGACACCUGCCCAGUGUCUGUACUUCAAACUUCCUUACAAGGAAGCUAAGAGCAGAUAAACGGCGGGGGUAACUAUAACUCUCUUAAGGUAACGUAAUACCUUGUCGUUUGAUUGACGACUUGCAUGAAUGACGUAACGAGAUCCCUUCUGUCCCCAAUUGGAAUCCUCUGAACACUCUUUACUGGUGCAAAGGCCAGUGAUCUCCAGUGGGAAGCGAAGACCCCGUGAAACUUUACUGUAGUUUGUUGUUGCGAUGUGAGUUUUGAUGUAUAGUGUAAG